rnacentral:rRNA from 1 species
GACAGGUGCUGCACGGCUGUCGUCAGCUCGUGUCGUGAGAUGUUGGGUUAAGUCCCGCAACGAGCGCAACCCACGUAUUUAGUUGCUAACGGUUCGGCCGAGCACUCUAAAUAGACUGCCUUCGUAAGGAGGAGGAAGGUGUGGACGAUGUCAAGUCAUCAUGGCCCUUAUGCCCAGGGCGACACACGUGCUACAAUGGCAUAUACAAUGAGACGCAAUACCGCGAGGUGGAGCAAAUCUAUAAAAUAUGUCCCAGUUCGGAUUGUUCUCUGCAACUCGAGAGCAUGAAGCCGGAAUCGCUAGUAAUCGUAGAUCAGCCAUGCUACGGUGAAUACGUUCCCGGGUCUUGUACUCACCGCCCGUCACACCAUGGGAGUUGAUUUCACUCGAAGCCGGAAUACUAAACUAGUUACCGUCCACAGUGGAAUCAGCGACUGGGGUGAAGUCGUAACAAGGUAACCGUAGGAGAACCUGCGGUUGGAUCACCUCCUUU